UACGUAGGUGGCGAGCGUUGUCCGGAUUUACUGGGCGUAAAGAGCGCGCAGGCGGUCGUACAAGUCGCGUGUGAAAGCCCCCGGCUCCAACUGGGGAGGGUCACGCGAUACUGAUCGACUCGAAGGCAGGAGAGGGUAGUGGAAUUCCCGGUGUAGUGGUGAAAUGCGUAGAUAUCGGGAGGAACACCAGUGGCGAAGGCGACUACCUGGCCUGUUACGUUGACGCUGAGGCGCGAAAGCUAGGGAGCAACGGG
rnacentral:rRNA from 1 species